rnacentral:rRNA from 1 species
UGGGGAAUCUUGGACAAUGGACGCAAGUCUGAUCCAGCCAUGCCGCGUGCGGGAAGAAGGCUUUCGGGUUGUAAACCGCUUUUGUCAGGGAAGAAACGAGUUUCUCUAAUACAGAGACUUAAUGACGGUACCUGAAGAAUAAGCACCGGCUAACUACGUGCCAGCAGCCGCGGUAAUACGUAGGGUGCAAGCGUUAAUCGGAAUCACUGGGCGUAAAGCGUGCGCAGGCGGUUAUGCAAGACAGAGGUGAAAUCCCCGGGCUCAACCUGGGAACUGCCUUUGUGACUGCAUAGCUGGAGUACGGUGGAGGGGGAUGGAAUUCCGCGUGUAGCAGUGAACUGCGUGGGUAUGCGGAGGAACACCGAUGGCGAAGGCAAUCCCCUGGACCUGUACUGACGCUAGUGCACAAAGGCGUGGGGGGCAAAC